rnacentral:rRNA from 1 species
CCUACGGGUGGCAGCAGUGAGGAAUAUUGGUCAAUGGGCGGGAGCCUGAACCAGCCAAGCCGCGUGAGGGAAGAAGGUACAGCGUAUCGUAAACCUCUUUUGCCAGGGAACAAAGGCGGGGACUAGUCCCCGGCUGAGGGUACCUGAAGAAAAAGCAUCGGCUAACUCCGUGCCAGCAGCCGAGGUACUACGGGGGAUGCGAGCGUUAUCUGGAUUUAUAGGGUUAAAAGGGUGCGCAGGCGGCCGGUUAAGUCAGCGGUAAAGGCCCGGGGCUCAACCCCGGCGAGCCGUUGAAACUGGCGGGCUGGAGUUGGAGAGAAGUACGCGGAAUGCGCGGUGUAGCGGUGAAAUGCUUAGAUAUCGCGCAGAACCCCGAUUGCGAAGGCAGCGUACCGGCUCCACACUGACGCUGAGGCACGAAAGCGUGGGUAUCGAACAGGAUUAGAUACCCGGGUAGUC